rnacentral:lncRNA from 1 species
CGGAAGGCGGUGCAAAAGCGCCGGAAGGUGUGGCCUUAGUUAGCGGAAUCUGAGGCGCACCUGCCUGCGGGGCGGCCCCUUGGGCUGUUCAAGCCCCACCCUCGAUGCCCUGGGCCUGGCGGGGUGGGAGGGCUCCCUAUUUAGGCAGGGUCCCCAGGCAGCCCGUCCUUCGGGCCUGAGCCGUCUGUUUCUCUCUCUUGAAGGGACCCCAAGGAGACCGAGGCCCCCGUGGUCCCAGGGGUCCCCCAGGCCUUCCCGGCAGAGAUGGUGAAGAUGGUCCCCAAGGCCCGCCCGGACCCCCUGGUCUUCCUGGUCUUGGUGGGAAUUUUGCCGCCCAGUAUGAUGCUAGCAAAGGAUUGGACAUGGGUCCCGGACCAAUGGUACGGAUCUCCCCAAACCUGGGAGCAAAUGGGGCGGUGGUUAACAGGGGCCAGCAGGGACCCCCUCCAGCACCGGCUUCUGGGUCAGCAUCUCCCCAGGCCAGUCGGGCUGACUGUUCCUGAGCCGUCCAUCCACUUGGGAAUUCUGAGAGGAGUGACCAGCUGUGGGGCUGACCCGGGGGAUUGUGGGCUCCAGUUAAGAAGGAUUUCUUCGGCCUGGGCCAGGGCUCUGAUGGGGGCACCAGAGAUUGAAUGCCCAACCACAGAUGUGCCCAAUAGGGGGGCUCUGGCAGCAGCCACCCUCCUCAGCUGCCCCCCCUCCCCUGAGCUCUACUGAGCUGGUCAGAAAGAAGACCAGUGGCAGGGGCCACGUGGGGACACGAGGCUUUCCAGCUCACCCAGGCGUCAACAGGCUUGUUUCCUGCAUGGGAAAUAGCUGGCA